UCCCCGCCUGGGGAGUACGGCCGCAAGGCUAAAACUCAAAGGAAUUGACGGGGACCCGCACAAGCGGCGGAGCAUGCGGAUUAAUUCGAUGCAACGCGAAGAACCUUACCAAGGCUUGACAUACACCAGAACACCGUAGAAAUACGGGACUCUUUGGACACUGGUGAACAGGUGGUGCAUGGUUGUCGUCAGCUCGUGUCGUGAGAUGUUGGGUUAAGUCCCGCAACGAGCGCAACCCUCGUUCUGUGUUGCCAGCACGUUAUGGUGGGAACUCAUGGGAUACUGCCGGGGUCAACUCGGAGGAAGGUGGGGAUGACGUCAAAUCAUCAUGCCCCUUAUGUCUUGGGCUUCACGCAUGCUACAAUGGCCGGUACAAAGGGCUGCAAUACCGUGAGGUGGAGCGAAUCCCAAAAAGCCGUCCAGUUCGGAUUGAGGUCUGCAACUCGACCUCAUGAAGUCGGAGUCGCUAGUAUCGCAGCAGCACGUCGCGGCUUAC
rnacentral:rRNA from 1 species